rnacentral:rRNA from 1 species
CCUACGGGAGGCAGCAGUGAGGAAUAUUGGUCAAUGGGCGGAAGCCUGAACCAGCCAAGUCGCGUGCAGGAUGACGGCUCUAUGGGUUGUAAACCGCUUUUGCACGGGGAUAACACCCUCCACUUGUGGAUGUCUGCAGGUACCGUACGAAUAAGGGCCGGCUAACUCCGUGCCAGCAGCCGCGGUAAUACGGAGGAUCCAAGCGUUAUCCGGAUUUAUUGGGGUUAAAGGGUGCGUAGGCGGGCGGUUAAGUCAGCUGUGAAAUCCGGGGGCUCAACCUCCGAAUUGCCGUUGACACUGGACGCCUUGAGUGCAGUUGAGGUAGGCGGAAUGUGUGGUGUAGCGGUGAAAUGCUUAGAGAUCAUGAGGAACCCCGAUUGCGAAGGCAGCUUACCAAGCUACGACUGACGCUGAGGCACGAAGGCGUGGGGAGCAAACAGGAUUAGAUACCCCGGUAGUC